rnacentral:rRNA from 1 species
CCUACGGGAGGCAGCAGUAGGGAAUAUUGCUCAAUGGGGGAAACCCUGAAGCAGCAACGCCGCGUGGAGGAUGAAGGUUUUCGGAUUGUAAACUCCUUUUGUUAGAGAAGAUAAUGACGGUAUCUAACGAAUAAGCACCGGCUAACUCCGUUCCAGCAGCCGCGGUAAUACGGAGGGUGCAAGAGUUACUCGGAAUCACUGGGCGUAAAGAGCGCGUAGGCGGUAUAGCAAGUCAGAUGUGAAAUCCUAUGGCUUAACCAUAGAACUGCAUUUGAAACUGUUAUUCUAGAGUAUGGGAGAGGGAGGUGGAAUUCUUGGUGUAGGGGUAAAAUGCGUAGAGAUCAAGAGGAAUACUCAUUGCGAAGGCGACCUGCUAGAACAUAACUGACGCUGAUGCGCGAAAGCGUGGGGAGCAAACAGGAUUAGAUACCCCUGUAGUC